CACAAGCGGUGGAGCAUUGUUGGUUUAAUUCGACGCAACGCGAAGAACCUUACCUAGGUUUGACAUCCCGGGGAGUCUUUUGAAAGAGAGAUGUGCCUUUCGGGGAGCCCGGAGACAGGUGCUGCAUGGCUGUCGUCAGCCCGUGUCGUGAGAUGUUGGGUUAAGUCCCGCGACGAGCGCAACCCUUUAUCUUUUAGUUUACCAGCACUUCGGGUGGGGACUCUAGAGAUACUGCCCCGGUCAACGGGGAGGAAGGUGGGGAUGACGUCAAGUCCUCAUGGCCUUUAUGCCUAGGGCUACACACGUGCUACAAUGGGCGGUACAAAGGGUCGCGAUCCCGCGAGGGGGAGCCAAUCCCAAAAAGCCGUCCCAAGUUCGGAUUGGAGUCUGCAACUCGACUCCAUGAAGCUGGAAUCGCUAGUAAUCGCGGAUCAGCAUGCCGCGGUGAAUACGUUCCCGGGCCUU
rnacentral:rRNA from 1 species